rnacentral:rRNA from 1 species
UACGUAGGGUGCGAGCGUUGCCCGGAUUUACUGGGCGUAAAGGGCGCGUAGGCGGCCACUGCAAGUCAGUUGUGAAAUCUCCGGGCUUAACUUGGGAAUUGCGCUCGAAACUACUUUGCUGGAGUGUGGCAGAGGAAGGUGGAAUUCCACGUGUAGCGGUGAAAUGCGUAGAGAUGUGGAGGAACACCAAUGGCGAAGGCAGCCUUCUGGGCCAACACUGACGCUCAUGCACGAAAGCGUGGGGAGCAAACAGG